UGAACGCUGGCGGCGUGCCUAAUACAUGCAAGUCGAGCGAAUAGACGAGGAGCUUGCUCCUCUGACGUUAGCGGCGGACGGGUGAGUAACACGUGGAUAACCUACCUAUAAGACUGGGAUAACUUCGGGAAACCGGAGCUAAUACCGGAUAAUAUAUUGAACCGCAUGGUUCAAUAGUGAAAGACGGUUUUGCUGUCACUUAUAGAUGGAUCCGCGCCGCAUUAGCUAGUUGGUAAGGUAACGGCUUACCAAGGCGACGAUGCGUAGCCGACCUGAGAGGGUGAUCGGCCACACUGGAACUGAGACACGGUCCAGACUCCUACGGGAGGCAGCAGUAGGGAAUCUUCCGCAAUGGGCGAAAGCUUGACGGAGCAACGCCGCGUGAGUGAUGAAGGUCUUCGGAUCGUAAAACUCUGUUAUUAGGGAAGAACAAAUGUGUAAGUAACUAUGCACGUCUUGACGGUACCUAAUCAGAAAGCCACGGCUAACUACGUG
rnacentral:rRNA from 1 species